rnacentral:rRNA from 1 species
UGAGGAAUAUUGGUCAAUGGGCGAGAGCCUGAACCAGCCAAGUCGCGUGAAGGAAGACUGCCCGCAAGGGUUGUAAACUUCUUUUGUAUGGGAUUAAAGUCACCUACGUGUAGGUGUUUGCAGUUACCAUACGAAUAAGCAUCGGCUAACUCCGUGCCAGCAGCCGCGGUAAUACGGAAGGUCCGGGCGUUAUCCGGAUUUAUUGGGUUUAAAGGGAGUGUAGGCGGCCUGUUAAGCGUGUUGUGAAAUGUAGAUGCUCAACAUCUGAACUGCAGCGCGAACUGGCUGGCUUGAGUACACGCAACGUGGGCGGAAUUCAUGGUGUAGCGGUGAAAUGCUUAGAUAUCAUGAGGAACUCCUAUUGCGAAGGCAGCUCACGGGAGUGUCACUGACGCUUAAGCUCGAAGGUGCGGGUAUCAAACAGG